rnacentral:RNase_MRP_RNA from 16 species
CAUAAAAGGAGAUAUUUCUCUUCGUGUUUAUAGUACUACCUUGUGAUUCUUUGUUGUUGAUCAUGUCUAGAGUUUCGCAUAAUAUCUUCAUUCAGGUUUAAGAGAAAGUCUCCCGACAAAAAUCG